UACGUAGGGGGCAAGCGUUGUCCGGAAUCAUUGGGCGUAAAGCGCGUGUAGGCGGCCCGGUAAGUCCGCUGUGAAAGUCGGGGGCUCAACCCUCGAAUGCCGGUGGAUACUGUCGGGCUAGAGUACGGAAGAGGCGAGUGGAAUUCCUGGUGUAGCGGUGAAAUUCGUAGAUAUCGGGAGGAACACCGGUGGCGAAGGCGGCGACCUGGGUCGAGACUGACGCUGAGGCGCGAAAGCGUGGGGAGCAAACAGG
rnacentral:rRNA from 1 species